rnacentral:lncRNA from 1 species
UUUAAACUGGAAGAGGGUAGAUGUAGACUAGAUAUUAGAAAGAAAUUCUUUACAGUGAGGGUGAUGAAACACUGGAACAGGUUGCCCAGUGAGGUUGUGGAUGCCCCCUCUCCAGGGACAUUCAAGGCCAGGCUGGAUGGGGCUGUGAGCCCUGGUCUAGAGAGAGGAGUCCCUGCCUACAGCAGGGGAGUUGUGACUAGCUGAUCUUCAAGGUCCCUUCCAACACAAACCAUUCUGUGAUUCUCUGAUUAUAUGAUAUACAGAUGCAUAAAUUUAGGAGAUGACAAUAAGGAAACACCCCCAAAAGUUCACAGUAUAGAUAUCAUGAGAUGGAAGAAGCACCAUGAGUUUAAUGAAACAGAAAGUUUAUUUUGAAGCUCUGUUCCUUUCUUCGAAGAUCUAUCUUACACAAUCCAUAUGUUUCCUCAAGAUGCUGAUGUAUGCAACACUCAAGGUCCCGUCUCCAUCAUAAGCCACUGUCAAAAUUGGACAUUUUGGUCCAGCCCACAGUGUUUGUUUCUUGCUUCUCUGUGUUUCUUAAGAACAAAAUUUCUGGGAGAAAGAUUUCUUCUCUUUUACUGCAAGAGUGAACCACAUAGACAUAUAGAAUUGAACGAGACCUACCAGACAGUCUCCUGCUAUUUCAAAUAAACGUGACAUUGUCUCUUAAAAGGUGAUUAAGGUGGGUGAUUCCUCCCAAUAUUCCUCCUUGGAGGAUGUCCUAGAGCCUCUUUUUUCUACCAUUCUAAGUCUCCC